AGCGAACGCUGGCGGCAGGCUUAACACAUGCAAGUCGAGAGGGCGUAGCAAUACGUCAGCGGCAGACGGGUGAGUAACGCGUGGGAACGUACCUUUUGGUCGGCACAACACAGGGAAACUUGUGCUAAUACCGGAUAAGCCCUUACGGCGAAAGGUUUAUCGCGGAGAGAUCGGACCGCAUCUGAGUAGCUAGUUGGUAGGGUAAUGGCCUACCAAGGCGACGAUCAGUAGCUGGUCUGAGAGGAUGACCAGCCACAUGGGGACGAAGACACGGCCCAAACUCCUACGGGAGGCAGCAGUGGGGAAUAGUGGACAAUGGGGGCAACCCUGAUCCAGCCAUGCCGCGUGAGUGAUGAAGGCCCUAGGGUUGUAAAGCUCUGUUGUGCGGGAAGAUAAUGACGGUACCGCAAGAAUAAGCCCCGGCUAACUUCGUGCCAGCCGCCGCCGUAA
rnacentral:rRNA from 1 species